rnacentral:rRNA from 1 species
AGAGAGAGACAUGCGCGCAUAUCAAUAAGCGGAGGAAAAGAAACUAACAAGGAUUCCCUCAGUAACGGCGAGUGAAGCGGGAAGAGCUCAAAUUUGAAAUCUUCAAGGUUCUACCUUGACGAAUUGUAGUUUAAAGAAGUGUUUUCUGUUGAAGUUUUGGUAAAAGUUCUUUGGAAUAGGACAUCAUAGAGGGUGAGAAUCCCGUAUUUGACCAUUAUUUUCAGCUUUGUGAUACACUUUCAAAGAGUCGGAUUGUUUGGGAAUGCAGUCCAAAAUGGGUGGUAAAUUUCAUCUAAAGCUAAAUAUUAGCGAGAGACCGAUAGCGAACAAGUACCGUGAGGGAAAGAUGAAAAGAACUUUGAAAAGAGAGUUAAACAGUACGUGAAAUUGUCAAAAGGGAAGCGUUUGACACCAGUGUUGUUUUCUCGAAAAUCAAUUAAAAAUGGCUCGAUUUUGUAUUGUUGAGACCUUAAAAGCUCACUGUACAUUUUUCGUGUCUUUUUUAAUGCACUUUUCGUUUAACAAGUCAACAUCAGUUUCUUUUGUUGUAAAAGGGUCAUUGGAAGGUGGCUUUCUUUUCGGAGAAAGUGUUUAUAGCCUUUGGCCUCUGCAAUCGGAAGAGACUGAGGUCUGCAGCGUAGACUCUUCGGGGUUAGAUACAUUUGUGCUAAGUUAUAGCUUUUUAUAGACAACUUGUUGACUAUAAUUAGUCUUGUAGCUUACUCGCUUAUGCUAUUUUACCUACGCUUAGGAUGUUGAAGAUGUAGCACAUCA